CUCCAUCCUCCAUUCAACAUCCAACCCUUUGUAAUCAGCUGGUUGAAAUCGUUAGGGUAGAUGCACUCUAGACAAAUUUCAUCUCUGCGCGUGUCAAGUCUCCUCAAAAUUCUACACCUAGCUCUAGCAUUAAGUUGUCAGUUGUUGCUGUGAAAUCCAUGGGGCCUCUAGACAUCAUUAACCAAGCACCCCAGCAUCCCCUCCUGAAGUAAUUAAACUGGAUUGGCGAGGAAAUCUUCCAUCAGUAACAUCACAAACUUCUACUUUUUAGAUGAGAAGGUGACGGUACUGGAGUCAGAAAAACGAGCUUGGGAAAGCAGUCCAGAAGCACAAGCUAUGAGAGAAGCCUUGAAUCCAUGGCACAAGCGUGAUGAGAAGGAGAAAAAAUAGGCAAUGAUAGACUCAUCGGUCCUCCUUUCAAGUAAUUGCAUUUCCACCCUUCCAUUGUAUCGUAACCCCUUGAACAAGGUAAUAGGGAUGUGGCGUUUUUGUAGUUGUUCGAACCUGUCUCUCUGGGGUUGCUGGAUGAUAGCUUCCAGCAAUGUUCUAAAGGAGUUAUGCCCAUAUCAUAUCCAUAUGUCUUCUUCCUAACAAGGAUUCUUUUACUGUUUCCACGCAUAUGCGUCCAUUUUGAACGUCAUUCAAACUCAGUAUCUGCUAUGUUUAGCAAUGUAACAAAGAAUUUUAGACUUGCAGAGGUCAAACCAAUCUACGUCUUCCAUUCAUUUAGUGAGGACCGUCUUUUAUGUGAGUCGAUGCUAAAUUUUGUAAUCAAAGAUAUCUGGGGUACCCCUGCUGCUCCAUUAAUUCAAAUUCUAGACGUUUAUUUC